GAUGAACGCUAGCUACAGGCUUAACACAUGCAAGUCGAGGGACGGGCGCACGGGUGAGUAACACGUAUCCAACCUGCCCUUUACUCGGGGAUAGCCUUACGAAAGAUAGAUUAAUACCCGAUAUAAAGGCUGGUGAUGCGUUCCAUUAGGUUGUUGGUGAGGUAACGGCACGCCAAGCACUCGAUGGAUAGGGGUUCUGAGAGGAAGGUCCCCCGCAUUGGAACUGAGACACGGUCCAAAACCGUACGGGGCGCAGCAGUGAGGAAUAUUGGGGAAUGGGCGUUAGCCUGACCCAGCCAAGUAGCGUGAAGGAUGAAUGCUUAUGGGUCGUAAACUUCUUUUAUAGAAGAAGAUGUAUUAUAUGAAUAAGGAUCGGCUAACUCCGUGCCAGCAGCCGCGGUAAUUC
rnacentral:rRNA from 1 species